rnacentral:rRNA from 1 species
GUGGGGAAUAUUGGACAAUGGGCGAAAGCCUGAUCCAGCCAUGCCGCGUGUGUGAAGAAGGUCUUCGGAUUGUAAAGCACUUUAAGUUGGGAGGAAGGGCAGUAAGUUAAUACCUUGCUGUUUUGACGUUACCGACAGAAUAAGCACCGGCUAACUUCGUGCCAGCAGCCGCGGUAAUACGAAGGGUGCAAGCGUUAAUCGGAAUUACUGGGCGUAAAGCGCGCGUAGGUGGUUUUGUAAGUUGGAGGUGAAAUCCCCGGGCUCAACCUGGGAACUGCCUCCAAAACUGCAUGACUAGAGUACGGUAGAGGGGAGUGGAAUUUCCUGUGUAGCGGUGAAAUGCGUAGAUAUAGGAAGGAACACCAGUGGCGAAGGCGACUACCUGGACUGAUACUGACACUGAGGUGCGAAAGCGUGGGGAGCAAACAGGAUUAGAAACCCGUGUAGUCC